rnacentral:rRNA from 1 species
AUUGAACGCUGGCGGCAGGCCUAACACAUGCAAGUCGAGCGGAUGAAGGGAGCUUGCUCCUGGAUUCAGCGGCGGACGGGUGAGUAAUGCCUAGGAAUCUGCCUGGUAGUGGGGGAUAACGUCCGGAAACGGGCGCUAAUACCGCAUACGUCCUGAGGGAGAAAGUGGGGGAUCUUCGGACCUCAAGCUGUCAGAUGAGCCUAGGUCGGAUUAGCUAGUUGGUGGGGUAAAGGCCUACAAAGGCGACGAUCCAUAACUGGUCUGAGAGGGUGAUCAGUCAAAUGGGGAAUGAGACAAUGACGAAACUGAGAAGGGAAGCAGCAGUAGGGAAUGUGAGGAAAUGGACGACAGUCUGACAGAGCAAAGCAGAGUGAGUGAAGAAGGUUUGCGGAUUGUAAAAAUCUGUUGGUAGAGAAGAACGUUGGUGAGAGUGGAAAGCUCAUCAAGUGAGGGGAACUACCAAGAAAGGGAGGGAUAACUACGUG